rnacentral:rRNA from 1 species
UUCUCUCGUAUUUAUAAGAGCUAUAAAUAUAUAGAUUUUAAUGUAGAAAAAUUAUUUAUAAUAUAUUUUUUGAUAUUAUACGUUAGUCGGGUAUAAAUAUAUCUAGUUUUUUAAGAAAUUAAUUUAAUUAAGCUGAUUUUAGGGGUAAUUUAUCUCAUAAAUAAGCCUGUAAAUUAAGUAAUAUUUAAGGGGAUAAGCUUUUAAAUAAAAUUUUAUAAAAAUUGAUUAGUUUAAAGUUGAGUAGGAAUAGAAGUUUUUAUUUUUUGUAGUGUUUUAUAUCAAGAUUUUAAUUAAGGUAAUUUGUUUUUUUUUAAGUAUUUUAUUAAAAUAUUAAAAUUAAUUGAUGGUUUUAAGUAAUAAUGAUAAAAUAAGUAAAGUUUUUUGUUUAGGGGAAUGUAAUAUGUAAGGUUUAGUUAAGGAACUCGGCAAAUAUAUUUUCUGCCUGUUUAUUAAAAACAUGGCUUUUUGUAAAUAAUUUAAGGUCAGGCCUGCCCAAUGAUUAAUUGAAUGGCCGCGGUACUCUGACCGUGCAAAGGUAGCAUAAUCAUUAGUUUUUUAAUUGAAAGCUGGAAUGAACGGUCUUACAAGAAAAUUUCUGUCUCAAUUAAAUGGUUCUUGAAUUUUAUUUUUUAGUUAAAAGGCUAAAAUGUGUUUAGGGGACGAGAAGACC